rnacentral:rRNA from 1 species
CCUACGGGAGGCUGCAGUGAGGAAUAUUGGUCAAUGGGAGAGAUCCUGAACCAGCCAAGCCGCGUGAGGGAAGACGGCCCUAUGGGUUGUAAACCUCUUUUGUCGGAGAACAAAACCCGGGUCGUGUCCCGGACUGCGUGUAUCCGAUGUAAAAGCAUCGGCUAACUCCGUGCCAGCACCCGCGGUAAUACGGGGGAGGCGAGCGUUAUCCGGAUUUAUUGGGUUUAAGGGGUGCGUCGGGGGUCCGUUAUGUCAGCGGUAAAAUUGCGGGGCACAACCCCGUCGAGCCGGUGAAACUGGCAGACUUGAGUAGGCGAGAAGUACGCGGAAUGCGCGGUGUAGCGGUGAAAUGCAUAGAUAUCGCGCAGAACUCCGAUUGCGAAGGCAGCGUACCGGCGCCAGACUGACGCUGAGGCACGAAAGCGUGGGGAUCGAACAGGAUUAGAUACCCGAGUAGUC